rnacentral:tRNA from 1 species
GCCCUUGGCUCAGUGGAUAGAGCAUCAGCAUGUGGCUGAAGGGUCUCGGGUUCUAUUCCAGUCAAGGGCA